UUCAAUAUUGUUAUUUUUUUUGUGAAAUGUCACUUUCUGCUCUUUUAUAAUUUUUUGUGCCUUUUUAAAUUUCCUUUUAUAUACGAGAUAAACUGAAAUUUCCUACAUCAGCGUCACAGCAUCCUGCAUCACCGCCGCAACCCAACACAUCACUGCUAACAAAGAUCUGGGACUCCCCUGGGUGUUUCGAUCCCCCAAUGUUGAACAUAUUGUCAAGAAGGCCUGCAAUUUUUUGUUUUGUCCUUUUCUACAUCCACAGCCUCUCUAGCUUUUCGGGCCAAGGCACAAGCAAAAUCUGGAUGUCGUUCGGCCUUGAAGUGGACGCUGAUCCAGCGUUCAACCAAGCGUCGAAUGGGGAGGAGAAGGAAGAACUAUAAACAUAACAUCUACUUGACUUUGGGCUGGAAAUUCCCACUUUUCUGCUCCACGGACGAAGAUGACUUAUGGUUUCAUACCAGGUCGGUGUGUGUAGACCGGACUAGACAUGGCUACCAGCUGAUGGCAUGUUUAUGCUACAGCCCAUGGGAGUAAUUGAUGCCUGCCAAGGUUGAAUUAUGGACUCUGAAGGAGCAGGGAAUCGGAAGAUCUUCCAGGACUUUAAUAAAGAUGUACACUCCCUCCUAUCACCAAAUAGAUCAUAGCAAUAUCAGGGAAAUGCUAACCCCCAUGGGUACUCAGCAUAGAUGCGCCUUCAGCAUUCUGGUCGUCAGCUUUUUUAUGACACCUGUGCCCACCUUGGAGCUUGUAUUUUUCAAAUCCCGUGAAGAACGACGGAACGAAUCAACCAAUGAACGAGCCAACCGUCGAAGAACAAUCUGCGGAAAAAGCGGAGUCGAAUCAUCAUCACAUUUAAUUGUCCGUCAUUGGGAUUCCUUCGCCAUUAAGGCUACGUCGCGUAACACGAAAGUGUCGCUACUUUUUUUCCGUCAUGUACUUGUGCAAGGAGCGACAAUAAUCCUCUAGUCAUCCUGUGAUCGUUGAACUUUUUGCCGGGAAAUUGCUUUCU